rnacentral:rRNA from 1 species
GAUGAACGCUGGCGGCGUGCCUAAUACAUGCAAGUCGAGCGAACGGACGAGAAGCUUGCUUCUCUGAUGUUAGCGGCGGACGGGUGAGUAACACGUGGAUAACCUACCUAUAAGACUGGGAUAACUUCGGGAAACCGGAGCUAAUACCGGAUAAUAUUUUGAACCGCAUGGUUCAAAAGUAAAAGACGGUCUUGCUGUCACUUAUAGAUGGAUCCGCGCUGCAUUAGCUAGUUGGUAAGGUAACGGCUUACCAAGGCAACGAUGCAUAGCCGACCUGAGAGGGUGAUCGGCCACACUGGAACUGAGACACGGUCCAGACUCCUACGGGAGGCAGCAGUAGGGAAUCUUCCGCAAUGGGCGAAAGCCUGACGGAGCAACGCCGCGUGAGUGAUGAAGGUCUUCGGAGCGUAAAACUCUGUUAUUAGGGAAGAACAUAUGUGUAAGUAACUGUGCACAUCUUGACGGUACCUAAUCAGAAAGCCACGGCUAACUACGUG